rnacentral:sRNA from 1 species
UUGCCUACUGAGGCCAGAAGAGGGUGUCUGAUACUCGAGCUGGAGUUAGGUUGGUUGUGAGCCACCUCAGCGAGAUACUGGGAAUAGAACAUGCAUCCUCUCUGACAGCAGCCAGUGCUCUUAACUUGCUGAGCCAUCUCUCUAGUCCUUAAGAGAGGAAUUUUUAACUUCUUUACACUUUCAUGAAAACUUUCUGAGAUAAUUUUAGACUCAUAGAAAAUGUUACGUCCCAUGGACCAUCCACUCAGCUUCUCGUGGUGAUUACAUCAUCAUAACUAUGCAGAAUACAAGAAGUAGGUUACUGAUUUUGAUAAGACAGCAACUAUGAAACACACAGACCAGUCAGACCUUACUCUCGGGCACACUGACACACGCAUGUGUUUGAUGGACAAGACUCAAGGUACCGCCACCAAGCCCAAGAGUGCAGAACUUCCCCCAUCCAUCAAAAGCCACAUCAUGCCAUUCCUUUCUAGCUGAGCCCUGUCUACCAUUAGCCCAGGCAACUACCAAACAGAAACCCCUCUAUUAAUCUGUCACUGUGAGAGUGUUAUGGGACGUGGAGCACAUAGUAGGUCACUUGUGAGACCAGCUUUUCCCACACAGUCUAAUGUUCUUCUGAUCCAUGCAGGCUAUGGCAAAUAGCAACUGGUUCUUUCUCCUUAUUUUAAACUAGUAUUCUGCUGUAGAGAUGUGUCUCACAAUCACAGUUCCUGUGGAUAAACCUGUGAGUGUGCACAGAAACUCUCAUUUCUCUGGGCUGAAUACAGUAACUUCCCCACAAUGAUGGCGGGUGCAUGUUCAGAUUUAUAAGGCAUCAUGAGACUAAAAAUCCAGGGGGUCUCCAGGGUCACUGUAUCAUCUGACUCUGUAAUUAGUUGUGAAUACAAACCCUAGUUGCUCCAAAGUUUCCCAGCAGAUCUUUGGUUUCCAUUGUCCUUAGCUAGGAACGGCUAGGACUCUAGGAGAUUUGAACCCUGAGGGGCCUCAGAGUUGAUGCAGUCCAGCCUGAGGCUGUAGAGGAAACCACCGGGAUGCCAAGAAGGGGCCUGGCCGAUGACUCCCCUGCACCUCUUUUGCUAUUUUUACCGUCUUUUCUCCCUGCCCAGAGGCAGGCAGAGCUGCAGUCUCUGCGGUCUUGUCAAAGGUCAGACGGGACCUAAGUGCCUCUCAAAGACUCAAAAAAGUCUUGCCCAGGGGAUUUGACCUCGUGCUUUGUGGUCUUAUAGGAGUCAGGCUGCAGUCACAUGUUCAGACCCGAGUCAGCCUCUGACCUUAAAUCCAUACUGUGUCAUCUGCUCUCGGGGAACUACUAAUGGUCCAAGGUUCACAUUCCAUCAGAAUUUACAGCCUGCAACCGUCUGUCUCAAGUUCACCCAGGUCUGUCUGCCUGCCUGCCUGUCUGUCAGAGGUUCACCCAGGUCUGUCUGUCUGCCUGUCUGUCCAUCCAUCUGCCCGUCCGUCUUUCUGUCUGUCCUGUCAACACUUCUUGCCAGUGCUCAGCUCCUCCAGUCUCUGAGUGUCUAUAGAAUGCCAGGCACUUUAGAAGGCUCUGGCCCAUGCUGUCUCUGCAGUUAGGGUCAGAGAAUGGCACUUGACAGAUAAGAAAGAAAUAGCCUUGAAAUCAGAAUCGCUGGGAAUUCCUGACCCCAUGCCUCAGGGGAAGUCUGGUCUAGGUCAUUCCUUCCUAUGGCUCCUGAGCACAAAAUCUGUGACCUGUGGUCUCUGUGACUCAAACAGCAGCUUUCCUUCAUUUCUGAGUUUAGAAAUUUGAGUGUCUGUCACCAGGGGGUGCCAGAGAAGCGACUUAGACAGACAGGCCAAGAACCUUCUUGCUGAUUGUGCUUUCUGUGUCCAAGUUUUGGGUUUAGUUCCAGCAUUUCUGGUGCAUCAAGCUCCUUAUCAAAAUAGCAGACGUCCCUGCUUCACUAAGGAUCGCAGAUGCCAUCUUUCUGAAAGGGGCACGAAUCAAAAAAGUAAAGAAAGCUAACAACACAGGAGUUUUCCCAGCUAGUUCAGAUGCUCCUGGGACAUAGAAAAUGUCCCAAAGCCACACUCAUUUUGAGUGACCUAAAAGCCAUUCAGUUCUCCGUGCAGAAGAAGUUAAGUCAACCAUAGCUUUAUUCAAUGUCAGGUUUGUUUGAUCGACUUUGAAGGGCCACCAUGAUUUUGUUCUGAGUGUCAGCGCACAGUUCCUCAUGACUUACUUACUAAUGUCUUCUGUGUGGACAGAGAAUGUGUACUCCUUCCGUCUCCAGGACCGUAAUGUGGGGCAGAAACGGUGGUUUGUGGGUUCCUGGUGGGCAAUAUCUCAUGAUUCUUUUUCCUGAUUUGGAAGCUUGCUGUAUAGGGACUUUUGUCUGUAGUCUUCGGAUUGCAGAUGCUGGGAUCAAUAUCAAUGUUUGCCUGGGAACUUUUAUACAAGGGCUCCUGAUGAGUCCUUGGCCCCAUCCCUCACCAUAUGUCUUAGCUCAAAGCUCUUAGCUUUAAGUCCAAGGAAAACACCUGUGUCGAUUGAAGGCUAACGGGUUAAGAUUCAGCUUCAGUCUCUGUGGUGGGUUUCAAGUCGAAAUGGAUCUUAGCCUCAGAUCUGCCCUUCCUCUCUCCCUCCAUCCCUCCCUCCCUCCCUCCCAGCAAAGCUAUCAGUAAAACUCAUCCUCCUUUGCGUCCAAAACCCAUCUAAGGGACUCUUAAUCUGGCCACUUUCCACCACAGUGUUUCGAAACCAACACAUUGUGUCUUGUUCUUCCAAGGCUCACAAAGCAUCUAAUUUGAAGAUGUCUCUUCAUGGCUAUCAAAAGAGUGGCCCUCUUCUUCACGAUGCCACCAAUGUCAUUAUGCAAGGGUUUGCAGCCUUGAAGGCUAGGAAAGCUCCUUAGAGGGAGUAGAAAGGAGGCCAACACAAGAUGUCAUAAUGUCCCCAAGUCUUGGCUCUGAUCGGGAGAUCAGUGUCCAAAGAUUUUUGGAAGCUGCCUCAACCUCCAAGCUUUCUUGCCACCCUUCUGGGGAUCACAACUGCCAUUGCUCUGUUUUCCCGGGAUCUCUGUGCCUGUUUACAGGAAGCCUUCGCUCGGGAAUAGUCGCAUGUUUGCACCAGACCCCCAGACUUGAAGAAGAUGAAGUUGUGGUGGCUGGGGUGGAGAAAAAGAAUUUGUUGAGGGAUUGUACUCCAUUCCCAAAUAAGUUCUGUCUGUCUGUCUCUCUCUCUCUCUCCCAGCCAGACUCUCUAUAAAAGGGAAAACUGGACACCGGGCGGUGGGGAAGGAAGGGAGCGGGUGCUGGCAAUUCUCCAUGAAACGCGGACACCGCACUGUUUACAAAUUCCUGCAGCCAGCCCUGGAAUCCAGAUGCAGACAACUCUGUUUAUGUAACAAAAAUAGACCCCAAUACCGUGUGACUGGAGGUCGGGUCCCCCAUGAGGAGACAUUUGCUGCAGAUGAAGUCAGAGGGGACAUAUUCCCUGGGGCUCCUGAGCAGCUGGGGCAGCGCUUGGCAGUUCUGACGUCUGCUUUCCUGCCUGAUUCCUGGACAACAAGAAACCUGUCUGUUCCCACCAUCUUCCCAGCCCCUGGCAACGACUGUAAUAUAUUAAUGAGUGAAUUAAUGAGUGCACCAGAGGUGGCCCGGCAGAACACGAGACAGCUGGGGCACAUGUCACUUUGAGAGGACACCAGGCUUGAACUCCACCAGGACCCACCAUACCUAGGGCUUCCAGCUGCUAGCUGGUGAUGAUAUCUAACCGCCCCCUGGGACCUUAAAAGGAAGAGAGGCCCCUGGUAAAACGGGACUAAUACACAGUUGCGUGUAGUCAUCGUCCCUUUUCUUUGGAGAAAUAAACACAAGCAUGUGGAUAUGAGGAGGGGGAAAGUUCCUGACACUCAAAUCUCUGAUCUUAGAUGCAGACCCAAGGACAAACAGGGGCCGUGGAAGUCACAAUUAGAUGCCAAAGUCAUGGUGCAAAGCAGGUCGAGAUGGAUGCCAGGAUUGGCGCAUGCACAUACUGAGUCAUUCACUGCCCAUGGCCUCAGUCCCUUCCACCCUCCCACCUACCCCGUGUGCCCCCAGCAGAAGACAGAACCUUCUGUCUGGGGGCUUGAGUCGAGCCCUGCACAGAAUUAACUGUAAUAAUUGGCAGGUGGGUUCCUGUUCCUGGCUUUCAAUCCACCAGGGGCUCAUGAAAAAAAAAACCCAAAAACCCUUGGAUGCUUCACAGCUCAUAUUUAGCUUUGGCUCAGAGAGGCGUCAGUCUGUAAUGACCAGAAAACAAACUGUGGGGAGCAGCUGCCCUGGGCAAACAAGAGAUCCAGAGCAGCCUGAAAGGUCCGGGCUCCUCCAGCCCACGGUCAGCUUGCUCCCUGGGGAAGGAGGGAGCAGGAGACUGGCCUAUUGGUCUUCUGGAGAGUGCAGAUGUGGAAGAGGGGGAGGCUUGUCCAGAUGUCUUCCCUCUCUUUUUAGAAGAGUAACCAUUACCUACCUAGAUUCUCCAGACCCUCAGUCCCCAUGUCAGCCUUCCCAUGAACAACUCUGGUAAGCAGGACCGUAGGUGAGCCACCAUACGAACAGCAUCUUCUGCCCCCAUGUUCUCUCCAGUUGUGUCUGUUCCAGCCAUGGCUAAUCAUCAACGGUGCUAUCUUUUCUCCUGAGGUUAAGACUCCUUCACUGGGAACUCCAAGAAGCCAUAACAGAUAGAUAAGAGUUGCUGUGAGAGCUAAGAAGGACUCAGUUCAGUUUAGUAAUUCAGAAGAAGCUCAAACAUGUCAUCUGAGAGUGACUAAUAAAGAGAAAAAUGGAAUGAGA